GGUAGGCCUAACACAUGCAAGUCGAACGGCAGCACAGGAGAGCUUGCUCUCUGGGUGGCGAGUGGCGGACGGGUGAGGAAUACAUCGGAAUCUACUCUGUCGUGGGGGAUAACGUAGGGAAACUUACGCUAAUACCGCAUACGACCUACGGGUGAAAGCAGGGGAUCUUCGGACCUUGCGCGAUUGAAUGAGCCGAUGUCGGAUUAGCUAGUUGGCGGGGUAAAGGCCCACCAAGGCGACGAUCCGUAGCUGGUCUGAGAGGAUGAUCAGCCACACUGGAACUGAGACACGGUCCAGACUCCUACGGGAGGCAGCAGUGGGGAAUAUUGGACAAUGGGCGCAAGCCUGAUCCAGCCAUACCGCGUGGGUGAAGAAGGCCUUCGGGUUGUAAAGCCCUUUUGUUGGGAAAGAAAUCCAGCUGGCUAAUACCCGGUUGGGAUGACGGUACCCAAAGAAUAAGCACCGGCUAACUUCGUGCCAGCAGCCGCGGUAAUACGAAGGGUGCAAGCGUUACUCGGAAUUACUGGGCGUAAAGCGUGCGUAAGUGGUCGUUUAAGUCCGUUGUGGAAGCCCUGGGCUCAACCUGGGAACUGCAUGGAUACUGGGGCGA
rnacentral:rRNA from 1 species